rnacentral:rRNA from 1 species
CGUUAAAUGUAAUUGACCCGUACCCGAAACCGACACAGGUGGGGAGGUUGAGUAAACUAAGGGGCGCGAGAUAACUCUCUCUAAGGAACUCGGCAAAAUGGCCCCGUAACUUUGGAAGAAGGGGUGCCCAUAGGAAUAUGGGUCGCAGUGAAGAGGUCCAGGCGACUGUUUACCAAAAACACAGGUCUCCGCAAAGUCGUAUAGACGCAGUAUGGGGGCUGACGCCUGCCCAGUGCCGGAAGGUUAAGGAAGUUGGUCAGGGGGCAACCUUAAAGCUGACGACUGAAGCCCCGGUGAACGGCGGCCGUAACUAUAACGGUCCUAAGGUAGCGAAAUUCCUUGUCGGGUAAGUUCCGACCCGCACGAAAGGCGUAACGAUCUGGACGGUGUCUCGGAGAGAGACUCGGCGAAAUAGGAUUGUCUGUGAAGAUACGGACUACCUGCACCUGGACAGAAAGACCCUAUGAAGCUUUACUGUAGCCUGGAAUUGUGUUCGGGCUUCGACUGCGCAGGAUAGGUGGGAAGCGUAGAAGCUGUCCUUGUGGGGAUAGUGGAGCUAACAGUGAGAUACCACUCUGUCGAAGCUAGAAUUCUAACCUGCUACCGUCAUCCGGUAGAGGAACAGUUUCAGGUGGGCAGUUUGACUGGGGCGGUCGCCUCCUAAAUGGUAACGGAGGCGCGCAAUGGUUCUCUCAGCACGGUUGGAAAUCGUGCGUCGAGUGUAAAGGCAGUAAGAGAGCUUGACUGUAACACAUACAAGUGGAACAGGUACGAAAGUAGGCCUUAGUGAUCCGACGGCGCAGAGUGGAAUGGCCGUCGCUCAACGGAUAAAAGUUACUCUAGGAUAACAGGCUGAUCUCCCCCAAGAGUCCACAUCGACGGGGAGGUUUGGCACCCUGAUGUCGGCUCAUCGCAACCUGGGGCGGAAGUACGUCCCAAGGGUUGGGCUGUUCGCCCAUUAAAGCGGUACGUGAGCUGGGUUCAGAACGUCGUGAGACAGUUCGGUCCAUAUCCGGUGCAGGCGUUAGAACAUUGAGAGGAGCCUUCCUUAGUACGAGAGGACCGGGAAGGACGAACCGCUAGUGUACCAGUUAUCGUGCCAACGGUAAACGCUGGGUAGCUAUGUUCGGAGCGGAUAACCGCUGAAAGCAUCUAAGUGGGAAGCCCACCUCAAGAUGAGUGUUCUCACCAGUUUAACUGGGUAAGGUCACAUGUAGAACACAUGUUUAUAGGCUCUAUGUGGAAGUGUAGCAAUAUAUGAAGCAGAGGAGUACUAACAGACCGAGGGCUUGAC